rnacentral:lncRNA from 1 species
UUAUUGAAUAAUUUUAUUCUGUCUCAGAAUAAAAAUCUGCUUUAAUAUUGUAAGGUGCACUGCAGGUAUGCCAUGCUGCCAGUUAUUACUGGGGUACCAAACGCCCUAGUCAAUGACCCAGAGGGCUUGGCAAAAUGCAUGAAUUCAUAUUUUCAGAGCAUGUAGAAUUGGUAUUUACAGUUUUUCUUUUUUCUUCAAAGUAGCCCAGGAUAUCUCCGACAGUCUACACAGGUAUUGUCAUAGCACUUGCUUUGAUGUUCCGAAUGUCUCGGAAAUGUGUUCAAUAUCAUGAUUGGUGGGUCCUCCAAAAGACUUUGUUGUUAACAUGCAAGCAAACAGUAUUAAAUGAUAUCAUCUAAACUAUGGCUGCCGAGAGCUGGACCUCGAUACUGAAACUGAAUCACAAAACAUUUUCUUGUAGAGCCUUACAAAAGGCAACUAUAGCUUAAAAUAGAAAAAAGAUUUACUAAUAAUUUAUCAUUAGCAAUGAACUCUAUACUGAGUCACAUCUGUGGGUCACAGGCCGAAGGACCAGUGCUAUGGUAUCUCGUAGGUUGCUAAAAUAAUUUCUAACACUCUGAAUCCUCUUGAAAUA